AGAACGAACGCUGGCGGCAUGCCUAAUACAUGCAAGUCGAACGAACUCUUCGGAGUUAGUGGCGCACGGGUGCGUAACGCGUGGGAAUCUGCCCCUUGGUUCGGAAUAACAGUUGGAAACGACUGCUAAUACCGGAUGAUGACGAAAGUCCAAAGAUUUAUCGCGAAGGGAUGAGCCCGCGUAGGAUUAGCUAGUUGGUGAGGUAAAGGCUCACCAAGGCAACGAUCCUUAGCUGGUCUGAGAGGAUGAUCAGCCACACUGGGACUGAGACACGGCCCAGACUCCUACGGGAGGCAG
rnacentral:rRNA from 1 species